UGCGGUGGCCUGCCGAAUUCAUGCAGCCAGGAGGCAUGGAACCGGGGACCCAAAGGGCCCUUAAAAGCGUGGCCAGGGGUGAAUCGGCGCAUUUCGCCGUAGGGCAUCUUCCCAGCCCGAAUCCGUCAGCUAACCCGGUAGGCAUCAGUGGAAGUCCCA
rnacentral:sRNA from 1 species